rnacentral:ncRNA from 2 species
UGCUAACGUGUCCGCUCGGGUUUGGCAGUGGCCCUUUGGCUGCUGCGAAUAAUAGGGAAUAUGGUGACGGCAUUUUGCCCAGUCCAUAACUGCCCCCGCAACUGUAAGUGCUGGUUGCUUCCUUGAUGUCACUGGGAAACCCCGGGAAGGCGGAAUAGCAACAAUCGGCACAAGUCAGGAGACCUGCCCGAAUUUUUAUCACUGA